rnacentral:tRNA from 1 species
GGGGCCAUAGCUCAAUUGGGAGAGCGCUGCCUUUGCAAGGCAGAGGUUACCGGUUCGAUCCCGGUUGGCUCCA